GCGUCUGUAGUUCAGCGGACUAGAACAGCUCCGUGGAGGAGCCAACCCCGGUUCGAAUCCGGGCGGACGCA
rnacentral:tRNA from 1 species